UCCAAUCCAACUUUCAACUCGCUUGGAAAUGAGGUGAGUUCACUCACAUGGUCCCCUUUCCUCCAAGUCACCUUCAUUUCCAAUGGAUUUGUCAGAACAGCACGAAUAUUCCCCCAAAAUCGCACAAUUUCGGGUACGAAAUGACGAUUUGUUGGAUGAAAGGGAGCCGUGGAUAGAUGUAAACCGAUCCACGCCCUCCGUUUGUCCCAAAAAUUGUUCAAAACCUGACGAUUUUCGGGGUUUUUGGCAGAAAAUUGGAAAUUUUUGAAGGCUGUAUAUAUAAGGUAAGCCUCUUUGUUAGUUUGGAGAAAAAUCAGAGAAAAAAAUUUGGAGAAAAACCCUAGGAAAAGAGUAAAUGAAUUUUUAGGAUUCAUGAAGUUUUCUCUUCUUCUUCAAGCCUUUUUCUCAUAGGUCAGAUUUUUUAAAAAAGGAUAUAUAGUUCUGAGUUUGGUUCUCGGUGAAAAACAUUUAGUUCAAUUUCGAAAGAAAACAAUUUUUUACGAGUCUCAGCUUUCUUCUUCAUUUCUGAGUUUUCAAGAAUGGUUUUGACCUGAAGUUUUGAGUUGAGUUGGUGGCUAGGGACUCGAACUUGGAUGCUGUGGGUAUCUACUCAAGUUUUGGCUGCAAUUUGGUUUCGGUCGAGUUGUUUGCUGAGCUCCAGUAGCUGAGGAAACUCCUGUUGUUCUCUUCUUUUCGCUUGACCUUUAUUUGGUCUAUUUCAUUCUCUCGUUCUGUUUGUUAGGUAAAUGUCUAUUACCUCGCGUUGUUAGUUUUACUGGUGUAUUAAAGAUUUUGGUGAGAUGACAUUGUUUGUUUAUUCAGCAAGAUGUAUUUGAACCAGCUUGAAUAAUCUUUUGAAUUUAACAAUGAAAAACUAAAAUUGCUCUUAUGCGCUGAUUGUGUCGUUUCAUAAUUCUGAAAGCUCACAGUUACACACACACUCACAUUCAUUACAUUUAAGCAUUCAUAUGGCGUGACAAGGUUAUUUUAUGGGUUUUACUGAAAAGAAUGAAAUGAAACCUUAUAAGUUCAGGUCGGAUCUUGAGCUUAUAGAUCUAGAUGAGGGGUUUAAUUGUUUUACUCCCCUUAUCAUGACAUGGCAGAAUCUGUGUGUGUGUUUUGGGUUUGGUUAAUCACUUCUUCUCCAUUCAUACAUAACAUAUUCAAAAGCUUUUAUGUAAUUUUUCUAUUGCAUUCCUUCAUUAUUGUCCCAACCUGCAAUGUCGCCUGUUCAAAUCUUGUGUUACAGUCAUGUUGAAUUUGAUUAUUGCUAUAAAGUUGAGGCCUAAAGAUGUUAAGUGUGAAUUGAGCUUCCAAAUGUACUGUGUGAUAACUAAUCAGCCUUUGAAAGAUUUGCUCAAAAAUGCAAUCUGAAGUUGUUACGAGAACAAGUUGAAUAAAGUUGGAUGAUAGUUAAGAGUAUGUUUCUUGUUAAUAUAAGGUAGGGCUAUCAAGUUCAAUACUUAGUUGAUGAAUAGUGCAGGAAAAUAUUUCUCACACAACCCCAGUAUUAUUUGGGACGUCACCCAUCGCAUAGGAGCGGGGUGGUCGAAGUGGAGGCUUGCAUCAGGGGUCCUGUNN
rnacentral:lncRNA from 1 species